rnacentral:rRNA from 1 species
AGCGAACGCUGGCGGCAGGCCUAACACAUGCAAGUCGAACGAACUCUUCGGAGUUAGUGGCGGACGGGUGAGUAACACGUGGGAACGUGCCUUUAGGUUCGGAAUAACUCAGGGAAACUUGUGCUAAUACCGAAUGUGCCCUUCGGGGGAAAGAUUUAUCGCCUUUAGAGCGGCCCGCGUCUGAUUAGCUAGUUGGUGAGGUAAAGGCUCACCAAGGCUACGAUCAGUAGCUGGUCUGAGAGGAUGACCAGCCACAUUGGGACUGAGACACGGCCCAAACUCCUACGGGAGGCAGCAGUGGGGAAUCUUGCGCAAUGGGCGAAAGCCUGACGCAGCCAUGCCGCGUGGAUGAUGAAGGUCUUAGGAUUGUAAAAUCCUUUCACCGGUGAAGAUAAUGACUGUAGCCGGAGAAGAAGCCCCGGCUAACUUCGUGCCAGCCGCCGCGGUAAAAC